UUAUGUGAUCGUCUCUCGCAUAUCAAUAAGCGGAGGAAAAGAAACUAACAAGGAUUCCCCUAGUAACGGCGAGUGAAGCGGGAAGAGCUCAAAUUUGAAAUCUUAAAGGGUUUCCCUUUACGAAUUGUAGUUUAAAGAAGUGUUUUCUGUUGAGGUUUUGGUAAAAGUUCUUUGGAAUAGGACAUCAUAGAGGGUGAGAAUCCCGUAUUUGACCUUUACUUUCAACUUUGUGAUACACUUUCAAAGAGUCGGAUUGUUUGGGAAUGCAGUCCAAAAUGGGUGGUAAAUUUCAUCUAAAGCUAAAUAUUGGCGAGAGACCGAUAGCGAACAAGUACUGUGAGGGAAAGAUGAAAAGAACUUUGAAAAGAGAGUUAAACAGUACGUGAAAUUGUCAAAAGGGAAGCGUUUGACACCAGUGUUGUUUUUCUGAAAAUCAAUUAAAGAACUGUUUAUGCUAAGUUGUUUAGACUUUAUCAGCUAUCUGUUUAGUUUUGAGCUUUUCUUUAAUGCACUUUUCAGUUAACAAGUCAACAUCAAUUUCUUUUGCUGUAAAAAAGCUUGAGGAAGGUGGCUUGAGAUUCGUCUUAAGUGUUUAUAGCCUCUUGCCUAUGCAGUCGGAGAGAUUGAGGUCUGCAGCGUAGAUCCUUCGGGGCUAAAUGCAUUUGUGCUAAGUUAUAGCAUUUUAUAGACAACUUGUUGACUAUGAUUUGUCUUGUAGCUUACUCGCUUAUGUUAUUUUACCUACGCUUAGGAUGUUGAUCUACAGAGCGAGAGU
rnacentral:rRNA from 1 species